UACGUAGGGUGCAAGCGUUAUCCGGAAUUACUGGGCGUAAAGAGUGUGUAGGCGGUUUUUUAAGUCAAGUGUUAAAUCUGCGGGCUCAACUCGUAGGCUGCACUUGAUACUGGGAAACUUGAGAGUGGAAGGGGCAAGCGGAAUUUUCGGUGGAGCGGUAAAAUGCGUAGAUAUCGAAAAGAACACCAAUGGCGAAGGCAGCUUGCUGGGCCAUUUCUGACGCUGAGACACGAAAGCGUGGGGAGCGAUCGGG
rnacentral:rRNA from 1 species